UACGUAGGAGGCAAGCGUUGUCCGGAAUUACUGGGCGUAAAGCGCGUGUAGGUGGUGGGACAAGUCUGCUGUGAAAGCGCCUGGCUUAACCGGGCGAGGUCGGCGGAAACUGUCACACUUGAGGACGGUAGAGGGGGGUGGAAUUCCCGGUGUAGUGGUGAAAUGCGCAGAUAUCAGGAAGAACACCUAUGGCGAAGGCAGCUCUCUGGGACGGUACUGACGCUGAGACGCGAAAGCGUGGGGAGCGAACAGG
rnacentral:rRNA from 1 species